rnacentral:rRNA from 1 species
CAGAACGAACGCUGGCGGCGCGCCUAAUACAUGCAAGUCGAGCGAGAAGGUGUAGCAAUACACUCGUAAAGCGGCGAACGGGUGAGGAAUACAUGGGUAAUCUACCAUCGAGUGGGGAAUAACCAGCCGAAAGGUUGGCUAAUACCGCGUACGCCUCCGAAUCUUCGGGUUCGGAGGGAAAGCCGCACUGUGAGUGCGGCGCUCUUUGAUGAGCUCAUGUCCUAUCAGCUUGUUGGUAGAGUAACGGCCUACCAAGGCUUUGACGGGUAGCUGGUCUGAGAGGACGAUCAGCCACACUGGCACUGCGACACGGGCCAGACUCCUACGGGAGGCAGCAGUAAGGAAUAUUGCGCAAUGGGCGAAAGCCUGACGCAGCGACGCCGCGUGGGGGAUGAAGGUCUUCGGAUUGUAAACCCCUUUCGGGAGGGAAGAUGGAGCGAGCAAUCGUUCGGACGGUACCUCCAGAAGCAGCCACGGCCAACUUCGUG